GUUGUCCGUCCGUUUUUGCGCCGAGAUUCGCGCUGGUUUUGUUUUUUGUUCGGGUUCGUUUCCGGGUCCGCUUUUUUUUUUGCCGGGCACGGUUUUCUGUCCGCCCGUUAUCGCCGGUCCAGCUCUGUUCGGUUUUUGUCUUGUUUGAAUUUGGGAGAGCGUGUCUUUUGCACUUUCCCCAUUCUGGACGCUCUGUUUCGAUAAGCUCGAGGGCGAUCUCGAGCGGCAUAGCACAACAGGCGAUUCUCUCUGUCCAUGGCGAUUCUCGCCGCUCAAUUUUGAUUUCGGUUCCUUUCUUUUGUUCCUCUCUCCCGCUCUCUUCCGCUCUCUGCCCAUGUGCUUUUUGCUUGCGUCUUGGUUCCAGAUCCAGGUGAGUUCAUGUCGUUCCUGUCGUCGUGCCCUUGUCGUCUCGCACGCUGUUGUAGUUGUAGAUGCAUGAUAUUGUUGACUCCCUGCUGGAGGUGGAGAUGCCUGAUUUGUGUGUGUGCCGUCGAGCACCUGCUUGUAGUUGUAGAUGCAUGACUUUGUUGACUACCUGCCGGAGUUGGAGAUACGUGAUUUGUGUCUUCCCGAGCACCUGUUUUGUAGUUGGAGAUGCAUGAUUUUAUGGUUGACUCCCUACUGGAGGUGGAGGUGCGUGAUUUGUGCGCCUCCCCGCGCCGCUGAUGUAGUUGUAGAUGCGGUGGUUGUUUUCCUGUCUCCUGUCUGCGGGUUGUUGUAGUUUGGGGGAUUAUGUAGAUGUGACCCCCCCCCCCCCCCCCCCCUAGGUGCGUGAUUCCGUGGAUUUUUGUGUUCUGGUCUAUUUAUUCCUGAUGCUUGCUGCUGUAUGCAGCUAUGUAGCUUGCUUUUGUGCCUAUACAGGGUUAGGUUUUUUAUCAUGCUGAUGUAUAAUUCACCUAAGAUGUUUGUAUGAUGUUUUGAGUUCAAGCAGGCAUGUAUUUUUUGAGUUUAAUUUCAGUGUAAUUUGUGACAGCGCAUUCAGUGUAAUUUUCUGAAGGGAGUUGGGGGAUUAUGUACAUGCCCCCCUUCAUGUAUAGCACUUUUCAGUGUAUUCUAGCCAAUUUUUACAGUGUAAUCCCAGCAUAUUUUGUUCCAAGUUUACAGUGUAAUUUGUCCUGCACUUACAGUGUAAUGUACCCAAUGUUUACAGUGGAAUUUGUCCUGCACUUACAGUGUAAUGUAUCCAAUUUUUACAGUGAAUUUGUCCCAAGUUUACAGUGUAAGCUACACAUUAUUUACAGUGUAAUUUUAUCCCAAGCUUACAGUGCACUUUGUCUUGCAGUUUUUUUUACCUAAUGUUUUUCCAGUGAAUUGUCCUAGUGUAAUUACAGCGGAUUGGAAGUGUAAUUUGAAUGUAGUUUUACCCGACAAUGUCACUGUACUUUGCUUAGAUUGGUACUAUAGGACUUUUCAAAUGCUUCAGCUAACUUUAUUUUUCACCAACUUUUACUCUAUAGUUUCUAUGGUUCAGUACUGUAAUUGUCAGUUAGAUUACAGUGAUUUUGUAUGUUUUAAUUGGAUGCCUUUCACUGUUAUUUAACUUCUUUUUCCUUUUUGUCCUCCUUGUUUAUAGGUUUAAAUGGGUAAGCUACGGAAAGCCUCUCAUCCGGAUGUUCCUGUAGUAUCAUCUUUAGAGAGUGCAGAUUCUGGGGGUGAACCUUUCGUGCCUAAUGAUUUUGCAGAAGAUGGUUCCUGUUGCAGAUUCAUGUUGUAGAACAGGUUUGUGUUCCAGGGAUUGGAUUCUCCUCCCCCAUCUUCGCUUGCUGGCAUUUCCUGAUACAAUUCUGCCUCCAGUGUCUGCAAAGAAACUCCUUCAGUUUUUGUUCUUGCAAGAGGUGAAGAGAGAUGAUGGAUGAGGGAGUUGGUGUUCGACUGUUUUUGCUGACCUGUAGAUGAUCGUGUUGUUGAUCUCCCUGCUGCUUCUCCUCAGCUACAUGAUAUUGUUGAUGGGAGGAUACACUCUUCACAUUGUCUAUAUAUGCGUAGUUUUCCUGUUAGCUGCAAGUGAUGGACUUCGCAUAUACUCCCUUUGUACCGUAAUACUUAUUGUUGGGGAGAACCAGUACGUGCAAGUUUUCCAACCACAAGUAUUGUAGUACAGAGCGAGUAGUAACUAGGAGGAGGAUAAAACACAACAGUUUGAAUAGGAACAGUUCGUAAGUUCACACAAUGUAUCAAUACUUCCUCCGUCCUCGAA